rnacentral:rRNA from 1 species
UACGGGGGGGGCAAGCGUUGUUCGGAAUUACUGGGCGUAAAGGGCGCGUAGGCGGCCCUCUAAGUCAGACGUGAAAUCCCUCGGCUCAACCGGGGAACUGCGUCUGAUACUGGGGGGCUUGAAUCCGGGAGAGGGAUGUGGAAUUCCAGGUGUAGCGGUGAAAUGCGUAGAUAUCUGGAGGAACACCGGUGGCGAAGGCGGCAUCCUGGACCGGUAUUGACGCUGAGGCGCGAAAGCUAGGGGAGCAAACGGG